GACGUAGGGCGCGAGCGUUGUCCGGAUUUAUUGGGCGUAAAGCGCACGCAGGCGGCUGAGUCAGUCGGUUGUGAAAGCCCUGGGCUUAACCUGGGAAUUGCAGUCGAUACUACUCAGCUAGAGUAUGGGAGAGGGUAGUGGAAUUCCCGGUGUAGCGGUGAAAUGCGUAGAUAUCGGGAGGAACAUCAGUGGCGAAGGCGGCUACCUGGCCCAAUACUGACACUCAGGUGCGACAGCGUGGGGAGCAAACAGG
rnacentral:rRNA from 1 species